rnacentral:rRNA from 1 species
CAGAUUGAACGCUGGCGGCAUGCCUUACACAUGCAAGUCGAACGGCAGCACGGGGGCAACCCUGGUGGCGAGUGGCGAACGGGUGAGUAAUACAUCGGAACGUACCUGGAAGUGGGGGAUAACGUAGCGAAAGUUACGCUAAUACCGCAUAUUCUGUGAGCAGGAAAGCAGGGGACCGCAAGGCCUUGCGCUUUUGGAGCGGCCGAUGUCGGAUUAGCUGGUUGGUGGGGUAAAGGCCUACCAAGGCGACGAUCCGUAGCGGGUCUGAGAGGAUGAUCCGCCACACUGGGACUGGGACACGGCCCAGACUCCUACGGGAGGCAGCAGUGGGGAAUUUUGGACAAUGGGCGCAAGCCUGAUCCAGCCAUGCCGCGUGAGUGAAGAAGGCCUUCGGGUUGUAAAGCUCUUUCGGUGGGGAAGAAAUCGCAUUCUUUAAUAGAGGGUGUGGAUGACGGUACCCACAUAAGAAGCACCGGCUAACUACGUGCCAGCAGCCGCGGUAAUACGUAGGGUGCGAGCGUUAAUCGGAAUUACUGGGCGUAAAGCGUGCGCAGGCGGUUGUGUAAGUCAGAUGUGAAAUCCCCGGGCUCAACCUGGGAACUGCAUUUGAGACUGCACGGCUAGAGUGUGGCAGAGGGGGGUGGAAUUCCACGUGUAGCAGUGAAAUGCGUAGAGAUGUGGAGGAACACCGAUGGCGAAGCAGCCCCCUGGGCCGAGACUGACGCUCAUGCACGAAAGCGUGGGGAGCAAACAGGAUUAGAUACCCUGGUAGUCCACGCCCUAAACGAUGUCAACUAGAUGUUGGAAGGGUUAAACCUUUUAGUGUCGCAGCUAACGCGUGAAGUUGACCGCCUGGGGAGUACGGCCGCAAGGCUAAAACUCAAAGGAAUUGACGGGGACCCGCACAAGCGGUGGAUGAUGUGGAUUAAUUCGAUGCAACGCGAAAAACCUUACCUACCCUUGACAUGUCAGGAACCCUGGAGAGAUCUGGGGGUGCCCGAAAGGGAGCCUGAACACAGGUGUUGCAUGGCUGUCGUCAGCUCGUGUCGUGAGAUGUUGGGUUAAGUCCCGCAACGAGCGCAACCCUUGUCGUUAAUUGCCAUCAUUGAGUUGGGCACUUUAAUGAGACUGCCGGUGACAAACCGGAGGAAGGUGGGGAUGACGUCAAGUCCUCAUGGCCCUUAUGGGUAGGGCCUCACACGUCAUACAAUGGUCGGUUCAGAGGGUUGCCAAGCCGCGAGGCGGAGCUAAUCUCAGAAAGCCGAUCGUAGUCCGGAUUGCAGUCUGCAACUCGACUGCAUGAAGUCGGAAUCGCUAGUAAUCGCGGAUCAGCAUGCCGCGGUGAAUACGUUCCCGGGUCUUGUACACACCGCCCGUCACACCAUGGGAGCGGGUUCUGCCAGAAGUAGUUAGCCUAACCGUGAGGAGGGCGAUUACCACGGCAGGGUUCGUGACUGGGGUGAAGUCGAAACAAGGUA